rnacentral:rRNA from 1 species
AGGACGAACGCUGGCGGCGUGCUUAACACAUGCAAGUCGAACGAGGCCCUGCCUUCGGGCAGGUGACCUAGUGGCGAACGGGUGAGUAACACGUGGGCAACCUACCCUCAGCUCUGGGAUAACCCCGGGAAACCGGAGCUAAUACCGGAUAUGACCUGGAACGACAUCGUUCCUGGUGGAAAGUUUUUCGGCUGAGGAUGGGCCCGCGGCCUAUCAGCUUGUUGGUGGGGUAAUGGCCUACCAAGGCGACGACGGGUA